UUUCCCAACUACCAGCCAUCUCAACUACUUCCAUUCCCAACCAAAUUCUCAAUUUAGGAACACUUUGGAACCAGAAAAAAAAACAAAACAGAAGUUGGAGCAGAGAUUAUUCAGACAUGGCUUUACUAGAAAACUUGGUACAGAUUCCCAGAUUGAAACUGGGUAGCCAAGGACUUGAGGUUUCGAAGUUGGGUUUCGGAUGCAUGGGUUUAACUGGAAUCUACAACUCACCUCUCUCCGAGGAUGAAGUUUUUUUUUUUUUUUGGAUAAAUAAAAGAAUAUUAUUACCCAAAAGGAGCAGUAUACUGCUACAGUACAGUCAUCUAAACAACCAAGGUGGAGCAUGAACAACCAACAUAGUAAUAAGGUUACUCAAAACCUUUCCGAUAUUAUUCGGACUCUUUAUUUUUCUUGAAGUAAUCUUUUCGGAAUCCCAUGAUCCAGACAAAUUCGGAUGAGAUCCUGCGGAUCCUCCAAAAAAAUCCGUAUUAGAAACAGAGCCAUGUCCGACACUCACACCCGAGUCGAAGUAACAUAGAACGGUUUGCAUUUGGCAUGUUUUGUGUCUUCUUGUUAAUAGCAUGUGAUAUAACAUAAUCAAGAAUUUGUAGUUUACAUACAGUGAACUGAAAAGUGUAUUCAACUUGCAGGCCUUAAAACAAUUACCAAGGGAGAAAAUUCAAUUGGCGACUAAGUUCGGUAUAGUGGGGAUGACAUCUACUGGCAUGACUGUGAAAGGUAGCCCCGAGUACGUACGGUAGUGCUGUGACGCAAGCUUGAAGCGUCUUGAUGUCGAUUACAUUGAUCUCUAUUAUCAGCAUCGGGUGGACACUUCGGUACCUAUAGAAGAAACCAUGGGUGAACUUAAGAAAAUUGUUGAAGGAAAGAUCAAAUACAUUGGAUUACCCGAAUCUAGUCCUGAUAUGAUACGGAGGGCACAUGCAGUUCAGCCCAUCACAGCAGUUCAAAUGGAGUGGUCGCUUUGGACUCGUGAUAUCGAGGAUGAGAUUGUCCCUCUUUGCAGGUUUAACUGGAGCUUGAUUUUGG